GAUGAACGCUGGCGGCGUGCCUAAUACAUGCAAGUCGAGCGAACAGACGAGGAGCUUGCUCCUCUGACGUUAGCGGCGGACGGGUGAGUAACACGUGGAUAACCUACCUAUAAGACUGGGAUAACUUCGGGAAACCGGAGCUAAUACCGGAUAAUAUAUUGAACCGCAUGGUUCAAUAGUGAAAGACGGUUUUGCUGUCACUUAUAGAUGGAUCCGCGCCGCAUUAGCUAGUUGGUAAGGUAACGGCUUACCAAGGCAACGAUGCGUAGCCGACCUGAGAGGGUGAUCGGCCACACUGGAACUGAGACACGGUACAGACGCCUACGGGAGGCAGCAGUAGGGAAUCUUCCGCAAUGGGCGAAAGCCUGACGGAGCAACGCCGCGUGAGUGAUGAAGGUCUUCGGAUCGUAAAACUCUGUUAUUAGGGAAGAACAAAUGUGUAAGUAACUAUGCACGUCUUGACGGUACCUAAUCAGAAAGCCACGGCUAACUACGUG
rnacentral:rRNA from 1 species